rnacentral:rRNA from 1 species
UCCCUCUGACUCGGGGAUAACAUUGCGAAAGCGAUGCUAAUACCGGAUGACAUCACGAAAACUCGGUUUUUUUUGAUCAAAGGUGGCCUCUACAUGUAAGCUUCCGAUUAGAGAUGAGCCCGCGUACCAUUAGCUUGUUGGUGGGGUAACGGCCUACCAAGGCUGCGAUGGUUAGCUGGUCUGAGAGGAUGAUCAGCCACACUGGAACUGACACACGGUCCAG